GAACUUUUGUGGGGGUGUACCAAUGGCAAUCUCACCAUAGUACUGAGCAUCCAGGUAGUUCUUUAACGCAACAAUAUCAGUAUCAGAAGAUUCUCCAAGAUUACCAUUGGGGUUAUACUUCCUAAAAGCAGCUUUCAAAAUCUCAACAUCCUUGGACUCAAGGCGGGCAGCUAGCCGGUUCUCUGGGUCUAACUUAAUCUUCUUCAGUCCAACUCUAAGCAACCCAUCAUUCGAUGCAGACGAGACAAUAUUAAAUGAAACCAACAAGA
rnacentral:misc_RNA from 1 species